ACAUGGCUCAGGAUGAACGCUGGCGGCGUGCUUAACACAUGCAAGUCGAACGGGAAAUAUUUCAUUGAGACUUCGGUGGAUUUGAUCUAUUUCUAGUGGCGGACGGGUGAGUAACGCGUGGGUAACCUGCCUUAUACAGGGGGAUAACAGUCAGAAAUGGCUGCUAAUACCGCAUAAGCGCACAGAGCUGCAUGGCUCAGUGUGAAAAACUCCGGUGGUAUAAGAUGGACCCGCGUUGG
rnacentral:rRNA from 1 species